AGGUGACUCCUUGGCGCUUGCGCGCUGUUUUGAUGAAGAUUCGCGCCUCUAUCAAAACGGGUAACCCCACCUCCUGGCAAGGCCUUACUGUCAGAUCAAGUCUGAACUUCUACACAUUACGAUCACGGGAGCCAACCGGCACGAUUCGAUGGCAUUCGAGUCCACGCUUGAUGCCAUCCCUGCCGUGGCUGGCCUGACUGGUCAGCCGCGCAAGCGGCCG
rnacentral:sRNA from 1 species